rnacentral:lncRNA from 1 species
UUCACGGUACGUGACAAACCGUCUUUUAAUGGCUGCGUUCUCCCACCCCAGCUGGUUAAACAUAUAAAGGAUGCUAUCUCGGAUGCCUAAUUUAUCCAUGGUCGUUCCAUCAUAAUAUAUGGUCAAUGUCAUAUUCUUCCUCGCUAGAUAAUCAUACCGCCUGCGUUGAACUCUGCCUCUGAAAAUUGUCUCUGGUUGUUGCAUGAUGAAAUUAAUUAACUAACUAAUUAGUAAUUUUCCUGUUAGUCAGUAUCCAAUAUGUCUAAGUUAGUUAAUAGAAACAACAAGAGUGACUGCAAAGAAUCAAGAAGGGGGGAGCAAACAAAAUAAAUAAAAAAAUUAAAGAAAGGAAAAAAAAUAGAUUGUAAGAAAAAUAAUGAAAAGAAGAAGUUGUCUCCCACUAAGCACUUUGUUUAAUGUCGGAAGUUCGACGGUAGUGUCGCGUAGCACUAGGUUUGGGGUUGAGCGGGCAGCUCUAUGAGUCUGAGACUGGUCGAAUAGUCUCUGUUUUCUAUAUUAUAAUAGUGCUUUGAGCGCUGCCCGUUUACUACAAAAGGGUCACUAUUUCUACCUUUUAU